UCGGGAAUUUUGGGCAAUGGGCGAAAGCCUGACCCAGCAACGCCGCGUGGAGGAUGAAGGUCUUCGGAUUGUAAACUCCUGUCGACCGGGACGAAUGCACUCGACCUAAUACGUCGGAAUGUUGACGGUACCGGUGGAGGAAGCCACGGCUAACUCUGUGCCAGCAGCCGCGGUAAUACGAAGGGAGCUAGCGUUGUUCGGAAUCACUGGGCGUAAAGCGCACGUAGGUGGAUAGUUAAGUGAGGGGUGAAAGCCCGAGGCUCAACCUCGGAAUUGCCUCUCAUACUGGCUGUCUCGAGUCCGAGAGAGGUGGGUGGAAGUCCUAGUGUAGAGGUGAAAUUCGUAGAUAUUAGGAAGAACACCGGUGGCGAAGGCGGCCCACUGGCUCGGUACUGACACUGAGGUGCGAAAGCGUGGGGAGCAAACAGGAUUAGAUACCCACGUAGUCCCUGAGCGGGCUGGCAAGGCGCAU
rnacentral:rRNA from 1 species